rnacentral:rRNA from 1 species
UACGGAGGGGGCUAGCGUUGUUCGGAAUUACUGGGCGUAAAGCGCACGUAGGCGGCUUUGUAAGUUAGAGGUGAAAGCCCCAGGGCUUAACCCUGGAAUUGCCUUUAAGAACUGCAUCGCUCGAAUUUGUGGAGAGGUGAGUGGAAUUCCCGAGUGUAGAGGUGAAAUUCGUAGAUAUUCGGAAGAACACCAGUGGCGAAGGCGACUCACUGGACACAUAUUGA